AACGAACGCUGGCGGCAUGCCUAACACAUGCAAGUCGAACGAGACCUUCGGGUCUAGUGGCGCACGGGUGCGUAACGCGUGGGAACCUGCCCUUAGGUUCGGAAUAACUCCCCGAAAGGGGUGCUAAUACCGGAUAAUGUCUCCGGACCAAAGAUUUAUCGCCUUUGGAUGGGCCCGCGUUGGAUUAGCUAGUUGGUAGGGUAAAAGCCUACCAAGGCGACGAUCCAUAGCUGGUCUGAGAGGCUGGUCAGCCACACUGGGACUGGGACACGGCCCAGACUCCUACGGGAGGCAGCAGUGGGGAAUAUUGGACAAUGGGCGAAAGCCUGAUCCAGCAAUGCCGGGUGAGUGAUGAAGGCCUUAGGGUUGUAAAGCUCUUUUACCCGGGAUUAUAAUGACAGUACCGGGAGAAUAAGCUCCGGCUAACUCCGUG
rnacentral:rRNA from 1 species